rnacentral:lncRNA from 1 species
GCUAGGAGAUCGAGUUAUGGUGUAGUCAAACUAUAACACACUUAAGGUGAACUGUUGAUGCACCUCAGGUCAAAGAACUAGAUACACAACUGCAGCAUCGAGCUUAGUCAUUGACGAGAAGGUAGACUUCCUUAUGACUACUCGAGGUGGUCACACUCAAUACUCUCAUUCUCAAUGAAUACCUGUACUCUCGCUCUGGUGUCUCUACACCGUAGACUCAAGAUACAUCUAUCCUAAGGAAGUGAUCGUACACCAAUCUUUCGGAUCAAUCACCAUCCUCAUAAUGAUCCUAUGGUC